GACGAACGCUGGCGGCGUGCUUAACACAUGCAAGUCGAACGGUAAGGCCCUUCGGGGUACACGAGUGGCGGACGGGUGAGUAACACGUGGGCAACCUGCCUCAUAGAGGGGAAUAGCCUUCCGAAAGGAAGAUUAAUACCGCAUAAGAUUGUAGUACCGCAUGGUAUAGCAAUUAAAGGAGCAAUCCGCUAUGAGAUGGGCCCGCGGCGCAUUAGCUAGUUGGUGAGGUAACGGCUCACGAAGGCGACGAUGCGUAGCCGACCUGAGAGGGUGAUCGGCCACAUUGGGACUGAGACACGGCCCAGACUCCUACGGGAGGCAGCAGUGGGGAAUAUUGCACAAUGGGGGGAACCCUGAUGCAGCAAUGCCGCGUGAGUGAUGACGGCCUUCGGGUUGUAAAGCUCUGUCUUCGGGGACGAUAAUGACGGUACCCGAGGCGGAAGUCACGGCUAACUACGUGCCAGCAGCCGCCGUAA
rnacentral:rRNA from 1 species